rnacentral:rRNA from 1 species
UACGAAGGGGGCUAGCGUUGCUCGGAAUUACUGGGCGUAAAGCGCACGUAGGCGGCUUUCUAAGUCGGGGGUGAAAUCCUGGAGCUCAACUCCAGAACUGCCUUCGAUACUGGAAAGCUCGAGUCCGGGAGAGGUGAGUGGAACUGCGAGUGUAGAGGUGAAAUUCGUAGAUAUUAGGAAGAACACCGGUGGCGAAGGCGGCCCACUGGCUCGAUACUGACGCUGAGGUGCGAAAGCGUGGGGAGCAAACAGG